rnacentral:rRNA from 1 species
UACGUAGGGACCAAGCGUUGUUCGGAUUUACUGGGCGUAAAGGGCGCGUAGGCGGCAAUUCAAGUCAGUUGUGAAAUCUCCGAGCUUAACUCGGAACGGUCAACUGAUACUGUUUUGCUAGAGUGCAGAAAGGGCAACCGGAAUUCUUGGUGUAGCGGUGAAAUGCGUAGAUAUCAAGAGGAACACCUGAGGCGAAGGCGGGUUGCUAGGCUGACACUGACGCUGAGGCGCGAAGGCCAGGGGAGCAAACGGG